GUUAUAUGGUCAAGUGAAGAAGCGCAUACGGUGGAUGCCUUGGCAGUCAGAGGCGAUGAAAGACGUGGUAGCCUGCGAAAAGCUUCGGGGAGUCGGCAAACAGACUGUGAUCCGGAGAUGUCUGAAUGGGGGAACCCAGCCAUCAUAAGAUGGUUAUCUUGUACUGAAUACAUAGGUGCAAGAGGCGAACCAGGGGAACUGAAACAUCUAAGUACCCUGAGGAAAAGAAAUCAACCGAGAUUCCCUUAGUAGUGGCGAGCGAACGGGGACCAGCCCUUAAGUUGUAUUGAGAUUAGCGGAACGUUCUGGAAAGGACGGCCAUAGUGGGUGAUAGCCCUGUACGCGAAAAUCCCUUUGCAAUGAAAUCGAGUAGGACGGGGCACGAGAAACCUUGUCUGAAUAUGGGGGGACCAUCCUCCAAGGCUAAAUACUACUGACUGACCGAUAGUGAACCAGUACCGUGAGGGAAAGGCGAAAAGAACCGCGGAGAGCGGAGUGAAAUAGAUCCUGAAACCGUAUGCGUACAAGCAGUGGGAGCCCACUUUGUUGGGUGACUGCGUACCUUUUGUAUAAUGGGUCAGCGACUUAUUUUCAGUGGCGAGCUUAACCGAAUAGGGGAGGCGUAGCGAAAGCGAGUCUUAAUAGGGCGUCUAGUCGCUGGGAAUAGACCCGAAACCGAGCGAUCUAUCCAUGGGCAGGUUGAAGGUUGGGUAACACUAACUGGAGGACCGAACCGACUACCGUUGAAAAGUUAGCGGAUGACCUGUGGAUCGGAGUGAAAGGCUAAUCAAGCUCGGAGAUAGCUGGUUCUCCUCGAAAGCUAUUUAGGUAGCGCCUCAUGUAUCACUGUAGGGGGUAGAGCACUGUUUCGGCUAGGGGGUCAUCCCGACUUACCAAACCGAUGCAAACUCCGAAUACCUACAAGUGCCGAGCAUGGGAGACACACGGCGGGUGCUAACGUCCGUCGUGAAAAGGGAAACAACCCAGACCGUCAGCUAAGGUCCCAAAGUCAUGGUUAAGUGGGAAACGAUGUGGGAAGGCUUAGACAGCUAGGAGGUUGGCUUAGAAGCAGCCACCCUUUAAAGAAAGCGUAAUAGCUCACUAGUCGAGUCGGCCUGCGCGGAAGAUGUAACGGGGCUCAAACCAUGCACCGAAGCUACGGGUAUCAUCUUUUGAUGAUGCGGUAGAGGAGCGUUCUGUAAGCCUGUGAAGGUGAGUUGAGAAGCUUGCUGGAGGUAUCAGAAGUGCGAAUGCUGACAUGAGUAACGACAAUGGGUGUGAAAAACACCCACGCCGAAAGACCAAGGUUUCCUGCGCAACGUUAAUCGACGCAGGGUUAGUCGGUCCCUAAGGCGAGGCUGAAAAGCGUAGUCGAUGGAAAACAGGUUAAUAUUCCUGUACUUCUGGUUAUUGCGAUGGAGGGACGGAGAAGGCUAGGCCAGCCUGGCGUUGGUUGUCCAGGUUUAAGGUGGUAGGCUGAGAUCUUAGGUAAAUCCGGGAUCUCAAGGCCGAGAGCUGAUGACGAGUGUUCUUUAGAACACGAAGUGGUUGAUGCCAUGCUUCCAAGAAAAGCUUCUAAGCUUCAGGUAACCAGGAACCGUACCCCAAACCGACACAGGUGGUUGGGUAGAGAAUACCAAGGCGCUUGAGAGAACUCGGGUGAAGGAACUAGGCAAAAUGGCACCGUAACUUCGGGAGAAGGUGCGCCGGUGAGGGUGAAGCAUUUACUGCGUAAGCCCACGCCGGUCGAAGAUACCAGGCCGCUGCGACUGUUUAUUAAAAACACAGCACUCUGCAAACACGAAAGUGGACGUAUAGGGUGUGACGCCUGCCCGGUGCCGGAAGGUUAAUUGAUGGGGUUAGCGCAAGCGAAGCUCUUGAUCGAAGCCCCGGUAAACGGCGGCCGUAACUAUAACGGUCCUAAGGUAGCGAAAUUCCUUGUCGGGUAAGUUCCGACCUGCACGAAUGGCGUAACGAUGGCGGCGCUGUCUCCACCCGAGACUCAGUGAAAUUGAAAUCGCUGUGAAGAUGCAGUGUAUCCGCGGCUAGACGGAAAGACCCCGUGAACCUUUACUAUAGCUUUGCACUGGACUUUGAAUUUGCUUGUGUAGGAUAGGUGGGAGGCUUUGAAGCGUGGACGCCAGUCUGCGUGGAGCCAACCUUGAAAUACCACCCUGGCAACUUUGAGGUUCUAACUCAGGUCCGUUAUCCGGAUCGAGGACAGUGUAUGGUGGGUAGUUUGACUGGGGCGGUCUCCUCCUAAAGAGUAACGGAGGAGUACGAAGGUGCGCUCAGACCGGUCGGAAAUCGGUCGUAGAGUAUAAAGGCAAAAGCGCGCUUGACUGCGAGACAGACACGUCGAGCAGGUACGAAAGUAGGUCUUAGUGAUCCGGUGGUUCUGUAUGGAAGGGCCAUCGCUCAACGGAUAAAAGGUACUCCGGGGAUAACAGGCUGAUACCGCCCAAGAGUUCAUAUCGACGGCGGUGUUUGGCACCUCGAUGUCGGCUCAUCACAUCCUGGGGCUGAAGCCGGUCCCAAGGGUAUGGCUGUUCGCCAUUUAAAGUGGUACGCGAGCUGGGUUUAGAACGUCGUGAGACAGUUCGGUCCCUAUCUGCCGUGGACGUUUGAGAUUUGAGAGGGGCUGCUCCUAGUACGAGAGGACCGGAGUGGACGAACCUCUGGUGUUCCGGUUGUCACGCCAGUGGCAUUGCCGGGUAGCUAUGUUCGGAAAAGAUAACCGCUGAAAGCAUCUAAGCGGGAAACUUGCCUCAAGAUGAGAUCUCACUGGAACCUUGAGUUCCCUAAAGGGCCGUCGAAGACUACGACGUUGAUAGGUUGGGUGUGUAAGCGCUGUGAGGCGUUGAGCUAACCAAUACUAAUUGCCCGUGAGGCUUGACCAUAUAACACCCAAGCAAUU
rnacentral:rRNA from 1 species